UUUACCUGGCUGUUUGAAACAUGGUGACAUGUGAGUAUCAGAGCUGCACUUUGUUGGGCAUCAUCUCAGUGAGACUUUCUAAACCGAACUACUUCUUCGCUUUGUGUGUGCGUUGUUUAUUAAUGUUCUCAGUAAUGAGAUGCCCUCAUUUCCAUACAAAUGAACUCGAGCGCUCCUGGUUGAUAGAUUAACACUGAAACAGGGUUUGGAGCCAUCGCACAAACUCAAUAACACACUUUAAUCUCUGCGUCCAUGCUCUGACCAACAUCUGCCUUUACUUCUGUCUGCUUUUUAACAAAUCUGUCAUAUUUACUACGUUAACAUUAAACAGAUCAGACGUUUAUGGUCCGAGUGCCUCAAUGCUAACGUCACCAACCCACUGACUCCCAGCAAAACACAGACUCACACACAACCCGACGCUCCACAGAAGCUAAGAGCUAAAGAGGCUUCACACAGGGUUUAGACAGAGAGCAAGGAAAGGAGAGAAGUGAGAGAAGCAGCGAAAACCUCAACUUCCACCAAAGAACAACGGAGGCGGCUUACAGAAACUGAGGAAGAGGAGGAGGAAGCAUGAUUGCCCCACAGCUUGCUUGUGCAAGCACACCUGUGGUUUAAACUAUGAUGACCUCAUCAAACGCCUUGCCGCUCACUCACCGAGGACACAUAGAGAAGAUGUACUCGUAAACUGACCCUCCACGUUAGACCUGACGGUCUUUCACCUGGAUGUCACCUGCAGCAGGAACCUCCUGACAGUCGGAGCUGCUGAAGCCGGCUGCCAGCAUCCAUCACCCACUCACACCCAACGGCCGAGCGUACGGGGAACAGCAGGGCGCAUCGUAAAUCAGCCGCCGUGGGAAUAUUUACAUUACACUUCAAUAAUCUAAUAAACCUGAUGAUUUCAU